GGGACACUGUCGGUGGGCAUGGUGGGGAUGGGUUGGGGUUGGGCUUCGGGAUCUUGGAGGUCUUUCCCCACCUUCAUCAUUCUAUUGUUCU
ensembl:miRNA gga-mir-1594 gga-mir-1594